rnacentral:tRNA from 1 species
GGAGGUGUGGCUCAGUGGUAGAGCAGUUUCCUAGAAAGCAGGAGGCCUUGAGUUCAAGCCUCAGUAGGGCCA